rnacentral:rRNA from 1 species
AACGAACGCUGGCGGCAUGCCUAACACAUGCAAGUCGAACGAGACCUUCGGGUCUAGUGGCGCACGGGUGCGUAACGCGUGGGAACCUGCCCUUAGGUUCGGAAUAACUCCCCGAAAGGGGUGCUAAUACCGGAUAAUGUCUUCGGACCAAAGAUUUAUCGCCUUUGGAUGGGCCCGCGUUGGAUUAGCUAGUUGGUAGGGUAAAAGCCUACCAAGGCGACGAUCCAUAGCUGGUCUGUGAGGAUGAUCAGCCACACUGGGACUGAGACACGGCCCAGACUCCUACGGGAGGCAGCAGUGGGGAAUAUUGGACAAUGGGCGAAAGCCUGAUCCAGCAAUGCCGCGUGAGUGAUGAAGGCCUUAGGGUUGCAAAGCUCUUUUACCCGGGAUGAUAAUGACAGUACCGGGAGAAUAAGCUCCGGCUAACUCCGUG